GAUCCAACUUCAUGCUUCCAUUUCACAAACUACUUUCGCAAGGGGGAAUUUAGAUUCAAGAUUUCAGACUCAGCCAAGCUUCAUCAGAUUCAACCUACAGACAUUUCUUAAGGCUUUAUGAACCAAGGGGAUUAGCGCUGCUUUCCCAAGACGAGUUUAUAUGUGAUUAUGAUCUUCAGGCUUUGCCUAACCAGUUAUUAUGCAAUCGAAUUCGGGUCCUGAGCAGUUGAUAGCUAUCCUGCCAGGGCUAGUGUACACCAGUGACCGUGAGUCAUCUAGCGGGUUGGCCGGUCAAGUGACCGUGAGAGGUGGCCACCUCUCCGGCACACAGUUCCAGAUAUGAUAGAUUACAAGAGAACUUAGACUGCAGUCGAACUUUCAGAAUCACAAAUGAAUUUAGUUGAGCAGCUGCCGAUGGUGAUGAAGUGACGAGCGAGACUCUUUUGUCUUAUUAUAUAUUAAUGAACUCUAGGGUUACAUGUCUUCAUACAUGUAAUCAGAACCUUAUUCCGCUGCGUACUCAGAAGUUUUAUGUUAUUUUGGCUAAGUCAGAGUUAUCUGAACUUAUUAGUUAUUUGAGUCUAUACGACUAAACCUCUGUUAUAUUAUAAAUAUCCCUUUUGUUAAA